rnacentral:rRNA from 1 species
GACGAACCGUGCGAACGUUGUUCGGAUUCACUGGGCUUAAAGGGCGCGUAGGCGGGCCAUCAAGUCCGGGGUGAAAGCCCCCAGCUCAACUGGGGAAGUGCCUCGGAUACUGACGGCCUCGAGGGGGGUAGGGGCGGGCGGAACUUCCGGUGGAGCGGUGAAAUGCGUAGAUAUCGGAAGGAACGCCGGUGGCGAAAGCGGUUCUCUGGGCCUGUACUGACGCUGAGGAGCGAAAGCGUGGGGAGCGAACAGG